CCAAAACUAAACCUGGGAACUCACACUGUGCUUGUCCUUACUUUGGAUCAUAGCUACAGCAUUCUCACGGGCCCCUAAGGCUUCUUUUCCAGCCCUCAAUGCCAACUCACAACCUAUGGAUGCCCAGCUGAUCCUGUCUCACCUCCUCACAAAUGAGGCUCUAAUUCAAACCAGCUCACUCUGUGGUUGUUUGUUUUGCACCCUGAGCCACACCUCAGCAAUUACAGAGAAACUGGGAAAGUGGCCCGAGGUCUAAGAGCUGGAAACAAACAGUAGAACCAGAAUGUGAAUCCAGAUCUAUGAUAAAACUAUGGAGAAGAAGAUGGAGCCAGAAGUGUACAAGCCCCUCCCUUCUCUGAAUCCCAUCCCAUCCAGCAGAAGAGGCAAGUGUAUGUGGUUUUGGAGCAUUAGAUGAAGCAUCUUACAAAUUUCCUGUAAACGUGUGUGAUAAAAUGUGAACAAAGAUGAAACGGCUGCAUUUUGAUUCCUGGCUUCAUGUUGCCCACAAUGGUCCACAAAUGAUUGGAGUUCCCUGGUCACCAUCUUUCUCUCUAAUUGAUAAGUUGAGCUCUGUGCCAAGAGCUCAGUCAGGUAUGCCUCAGUGGAAAAAUGUAAUAUUUCAAUUCUGACUUACCUAAAGGCCAAUAUCACAUGGCCUACAGUCUGUGGAUGUGCCCAGUUGGUAUCAAUUGCAUUGCUUAUGGCAAAUACAAUGCAGAUGAGGUCCUUCAUCAAGAAAUCAGAACCUAAUCCAAUAAAACCUGCU
rnacentral:lncRNA from 10 species